rnacentral:rRNA from 1 species
UUGAACGCUGGCGGCAUGCCUUACACAUGCAAGUCGAACGGCAGCACGGGAGCAAUCCUGGUGGCGAGUGGCGAACGGGUGAGUAAUACAUCGGAACGUGCCCAGUAGUGGGGGAUAACCCGGCGAAAGCCGGACUAAUACCGCAUACGACCUACGGGUGAAAGCGGGGGAUCGCAAGACCUCGCGCUAUCGGAGCGGCCGAUGUCAGAUUAGCUAGUUGGUGGGGUAAAGGCCUACCAAGGCGACGAUCUGUAGCUGGUCUGAGAGGACGACCAGCCACACUGGGACUGAGACACGGCCCAGACUCCUACGGGAGGCAGCAGUGGGGAAUUUUGGACAAUGGGCGCAAGCCUGAUCCAGCCAUGCCGCGUGCGGGAAGAAGGCCUUUGGGUUGUAAACCGCUUUUGUCAGGGAAGAAACGCUCCGGGCUAAUACCACGGAGUAAUGACGGUACCUGAAGAAUAAGCACCGGCUAACUACGUG